AUACGUAGGUGGCAAGCGUUGUCCGGAAUGAUUGGGCGUAAAGGGCGCGUAGGCGGCCCGGUAAGUCUGGAGUGAAAGUCCUGUUUUUAAGAUGGGAAUUGCUUUGGUUACUGUCGGGCUUGAGUGCAGGAGAGGUAAGUGGAAUUCCCAGUGUAGCGGUGAAAUGCGUAGAGAUUGGGAGGAACACCAGUGGCGAAGGCGACUUACUGGACUGUACCUGACGCUGAGGCGCGAAAGCGUGGGUAGCGAACGGGAUUAGAUACCCCGGUAGUCCACGCUGUAAACGAUGAAUACUAGGUGUAGGAGGUAUCGACCCCUUCUGUGCCGCAGUUAACACAAUAAGUAUUCCGCCUGGGGAGUACGAUCGCAAGAUUGAAACUCAAAUGAAUUGACGGGG
rnacentral:rRNA from 1 species